rnacentral:rRNA from 1 species
UACGUAGGGGGCGAGCGUUGAUCGGAAUUACUGGGCGUAAAGCGUGCGCAGGCGGCGCGUUAAGACAGGUGUGAAAGCCCCGAGCUUAACUUGGGAAUUGCGCUUGUGACUGGCGUGCUGGAGUGUGGCAGAGGGAGGUGGAAUUCCACGUGUAGCAGUGAAAUGCGUAGAGAUGUGGAGGAACACCGAUGGCGAAGGCAGCCUCCUGGGCCAGCACUGACGCUCAUGCACGAAAGCGUGGGGAGCAAACAGG